rnacentral:rRNA from 1 species
ACUGGAAUUCCAAGUGUAGCGGUGAAAUGCGUAGAGAUUUGGAGGAACACCAGUGGCGAAGGCGACUUUCUGGUCUGUAACUGACACUGAGGCGCGAAAGCGUGGGGAGCAAACAGGAUUAGAUACCCUGGUAGUCCACGCCGUAAACGAUGAGUGCUAAGUGUUAGAGGGUUUCCGCCCUUUAGUGCUGCAGCUAACGCA